GGACUUUGGACCAGGGUCUCAGCAACAGUGACGCUGGCCUCGACUGGAAGCUGCGUGGGGAGGCGGCUGCUAUCAGACCAUGGGGGACGUGAAACUGUUUGCCUCGUCGCACAUGUCCAAAACCUCCCACAGUGUGGAUCCCUCGAGGGUCAGCUCUCUGCCUCUCACCGAGGCCCCUGCUUUCAUUCUGCCUCCUCGGAACCUCUGCGUCAAAGAAGGAGCCACCGCCAAGUUUGAAGGGAGGGUCCGGGGCCACCCAGAGCCCCAGGUGACAUGGCACAGAAAUGGGCAAACCAUCACCAAUGGCGGCCG
rnacentral:lncRNA from 1 species